GACGAACGCUGGCGGCGUGCCUAGUACAUGCAAGUAGAACGCUGAAGGAGGAGCUUGCUCUUCUGGAUGAGUUGCGAACGGGUGAGUAACGCGUAGGUAACCUGCCUGGUAGCGGGGGAUAACUAUUGGAAACGAUAGCUAAUACCGCAUAAGAGUAGAUGUUGCAUGACAUUUGCUUAAAAGGUGCAAUUGCAUCACUACCAGAUGGACCUGCGUUGUAUUAGCUAGUUGGUGGGUAACGGCUCACCAAGGCGACGAUACAUCGCCGACCUGAGAGGGUGAUCGGCCACACUGGGACUGAGACACGGCCCAGACUCCUACGGGAGGCAGCAGUAGGGAAUCGUCGGCAAUGGACGGAAGUCUGAACGAGCAACGCCGCGUGAGGGAAGAAGGUUUUCGGAUCGUAAAGCUCUGUUGUAAGAGAAGAACGAGUGUGAGAGUGGAAAGUUCACACUGUGACGGUAUCUUACCAGAAAGGGACGGCUAACUACGUG
rnacentral:rRNA from 1 species